ACUCCUACGGGAGGCAGCAGUGAGGAAUAUUGGACAAUGGGCGAGAGCCUGAUCCAGCCAUGCCGCGUGCAGGAUGACGGUCCUAUGGAUUGUAAACUGCUUUUGUAUGGGAAUAAACCCAGAUACGUGUAUCUGGCUGAAUGUACCAUAAGAAUAAGGAUCGGCUAACUCCGUGCCAGCAGCCGCGGUAAU
rnacentral:rRNA from 1 species